UACGGAGGUCCCGAGCGUUGUUCGGAUUCAUUGGGCGUAAAGGGUGCGUAGGCGGCGGGGCAAGUCUGAUGUGAAAUCCCGGGGCUCAACCCCGGAACUGCAUUGGAUACUGCCUUGCUUGAGUACUGGAGAGGGAACUGGAAUUUACGGUGUAGCAGUGAAAUGCGUAGAUAUCGUAAGGAAGGCCAGUGGCGAAGGCGAGUUCCUGGACAGUUACUGACGCUGAGGCACGAAGGCCAGGGGAGCAAACGGG
rnacentral:rRNA from 1 species